rnacentral:tRNA from 1 species
GGCGCGGUGGUGAAGUGGUUAACACAACUGUUUGCAAAACAGUCAUUCACCGGUUCGAAUCCGGUUCGCGCCUCCA